CUCUCUCUCUGUCACUCGUCAAAUCGAAGCUUCUCACUUGAACCCUAACUCCAAAUCGAAGCUAUAAGGGAAACAAAUUGAAAAUUCUCUCCGCUCUCACUAUUGUCCUUCUUUUUCCGGCCUCUACUCUCACGAAUCGAAGCUUGUCUUUCUCUUUCACUAUUGUCAAACCUUCUUCGAUUCAGAAGUUCAGCCAUGGAGUGGAGUUUGUUCUUUUGUUAUCAUUUAAUGCGGGUGCCUUAGAUAACCAAGUGGAACAUGCAUUGGUGUCUCUAGCAACGGUGAUGCCGGAAUCUCCUUCCUUGAUUGUACAAUGUACACAAGGUAUGUUUUCAGUUUGACUAACACUUAUUCAGAUGUUGCCUUGUUAGCCAUUUUGUUACUGGAUCUUUUAGCAUAAUCAGUUGUCAUAUAAUUCUAGUUUAUAUCAGAAUAAUCAGUUGUCAUAUUUUCCUAAUCCUUUAUGUUUGAACUUUUAAGCUUAAGUAAAAUGAAUUUCUAUCCUACCAUAAUAUGUUCAAUAUCAGAGACCUUUAGGGGGUCUUUCCUCAAGUGGCACGAACCGAGACAUGUGAUGAUAUUCUUCAACAGGUCAUUUUUCUAUUUGGUUAUACCGGGUUAGUGUAUAACUAUUUUGAUUUGGUGACUAUUUUGAUUUAUUUCUCAUUUAGUUUCAUUUGGAUUUGUGGGUUUCGUGCAGGUUGAUGACCCUCGACUUAUUCAAAGAAUUUCAAUUGCAGCAUCAGGCAGGCGGUAGCUACAAAGACUAAGACGCCUCAUGAUGCAUGUGAUAGACUGAUGUGGUUUUGCUACCUAUUCUCUUUAUCUCAGUUUUCCUUUUCUUGUUUUUCUUUUGUUUUGCCUGGAAUGAUUGUGAAAGUUACUGUGGCCUGUGGGUAAUGGUUGCCCUUUGAAUGUACUCUCUUGUUACUUUAAUAAUUGGUCAAAUUAUGUAUAUGUUGAACUAGUAAAUUAAAUUAGAAAACUGGUUAGUGGUAGUGGAGAUUUUUGGUUCCUUUACUGCAUUUCCCUUUAUGCAUAGUUGCAAAUAUUAGUAUAAUCGAGUUACAUGAAACACAUUUUGUUGGAUCUGUUAUUUGUUUUUGUACUCAAUGACUUGAAUUUUUUCUUCGGCUGAAACUAUGGAUUUGCUUACAUUUUGUUGGAUCUGUUAUUUGUGUUUGUUCCUAUUACAGGUACAAGAGAAGCAAAGAUUGAUUGAUUUUGCAGAAGCACUUCGUAGUAAUGUAGUAUCACUCAUAGUUUUCUUAUAAGUGGGUACAUUUCACUAGAAUAUUGUAAUCUGCAUCGUAUAAUUUAAAUAUAAGUUAUACUCUAUAAAGGUGUUCAAUGAUCCCACAAC